ACUUCACUGUGGAAUUUCCAGAUUUUCUAAAUCCAGAACAGGUUAAGGCUUUGGAGGCCGUUCUGCCACCAAAGCAGCCUUCACAGUUAACAGACAUGGAGCUGGACGAGUGUGAGGAGACCACACUUCAUGAUGUCAACAUGGAGGAUGAGACUAGGAGGAGGCAGCAACAAGCUGCUCAGGAGGCAUAUGAGGAGGAUGAUGAUAUGCCUGGUGGUGCACAGAGGGUACAGUGCGCCCAGCAGUGAUGACUUGUGUGGAAGGAAUGUAGAAUCAGAAUUAUAUAAAAUGAAUGAUGAUGAUGAUACUGUUGAUGAUCCGUAACUGUAGCGUGGACUAUGGACUAAAGACGAGUAGCGUUGUAGUAGUGUUUGAUUGUGAGAAAGUGAAGAACAUUAAUACUGUGGAAAGGAUAAUUUCUGUUCUGGCAUCCUAAAUACUUCUGUUUAUUGGUUUAUUUUAAGCAUAUUUGUUUCGG
rnacentral:lncRNA from 1 species